AGCCUGAAACAGUGUCCCUCUGUUACCCACAUCCCUAGCCUCCAUUCUUCUCUGUCUCCAGUGUGCACGUCUUGCUGCUCAUUCUCAGCACUGUUUGCCCCUGGUGGAGCUGAUGGAAAGGAUGCUUCUUAAAACAUGCAGCCAUGACCACAGGCAAAUUGAGGACAUUUUAAUCGAGACCAACUCCGUUUUGGGCUUCCCGGGUAAUUCAGUGGUAAAGAAUCCACCU
rnacentral:lncRNA from 1 species